CGUUUCUUUAAAAGAAAAAAAAAAUUACAAUGUCAUCAUCCAAAAUUGUCAUAGUUUGUAUCAUCCUCGUUUCACUUGCUAAUCUUCAUGAAUGUAGUUUAUUUAAAAGUGACAAGCCAUCGACCGAUCCGUUCACAGGAGAAAGGACAGGAAAACCACCAUGCAAACCAGGAAAAAAAAACUAUUUUACCUGCACUUACAAUGCAAACAUUGAUUAUCUAGAUAAUAUCAGAAGCUGUUGGAUCCUUUGCCCAAAAAGCUAAUUUGACCCAACACCUCCUUUUCAAGGAUUUAUAAAAUUUGAAGACCAUUUUAAACACCAAUUUUUUUCUUUCAUAUAUAAAUAGUAAAUAAUCAUGUUACUACACUAAAGAAAAUUAUACAUACACCUUAGUAUUGCUUCGUAACUUUUAAACUCUUUUAUUUACUCUAUAUUUUAUGUUUGUAUUAUUUAAAAGUGAGCCUUGCUCCUCUAAUGAUUUUUUGGUGAUAGAUAAAUUCAUAAAAAUCUGCUUCAGUGCCAUGUAUCAAAAUCCUCAAACUGAAGCUAAUACAUUCUUCAGUCUUUGACAUACCAUAGCGAGAAGCUAGCUAUUGCCUUUGGAAUCCUGGUGACUCCACCAGGAACAACCAUUAGAGUGACCAAGAAUCUUAGAACUUGUGUAGAUUGCCAUAAUUUUGCGAAGUUUGUAUCUGAUGUUUAUGAUCGUGUCGUGAUCGUUAGAGACCGUUCCCGAUUUCAUCAUUUUAAAAGCGGCUCUUGCUCUUGUAAUGAAUUUUGGUGAUGAUUCAAAAGGUUUGUUUCAA